ensembl:lncRNA
GCUGUUGAGCUGCAACUGCAGGCCCGGGCCGAGUUGCGAGCCGAAGGCGGCCGCUUUGCGGCCCAGCUCACCCGAGGGCAGCAGCGGCACGGCGGGCGGCAGCACGGGGGCCACGGGCGGCAGCGCGUACGGGUACUGGAGCGCCGCGGCCGCCGCCGCAGCUGCCGCGGCCGCCGGGUGCGAGUAAGCGCCGGCCGCGGCCGCAGGGUGCAGGCCGUAGGGGCGGCCGUAGGGCCCCGCGGCACCGGCCGCCGCCGCCAGGCUGUAGGCGCCGAAGCUCUGCAUCAUGAGCGCCGUCUGCUCACGCAGGUGCUCCUGCUGGUGGCGCUUGAAGCGUUUCCGGCGCCGCAGGAAGCUGCCGUUGUCGAACAUGUCCUCGGACUGAGGGUCCAGGGUCCAGUAGUUGCCCUUGCCCGGGUUGCCCGGUUCACGGGGGAUCUUGACGAAGCAGUCGUUGAGCGAGAGGUUGUGGCGGAUGCUGUUCUGCCAGGCGGGGAACUUCUCCCGAUAGUAGGGGAAGCGGUUGCUGAUGAACUCGCAGAUGCCGCUCAGAGUCAGCUUCUUCUGCGGGCUCUGCAGGAUAGCCAUGGUGAUGAGCGCGAUGUACGAAUAGGGCGGCUUCACCAGGCUGUUCUUGGGCUUGCUCGGGGCCAGGCCGCCCGCCGCACCGCUGCCGGAGCCGGGCCCGCCACCGCUCCCGCCGCCCUCCUCGCCGCCAGCGCCGCUCUUGCAGCCGUCGGCCUCGGAUGCUCCCGCCUCGCCCCCUGGCCCGGCCCCGGCUCCAGCCACCUCUUUGGGCAGUGCCAGGGGCUGCUGGUGCGGCUGCUGAGGCUGCCCGUGGUGGGGUGCCACCGGCGUCACCUCGUCCGCCUCGUCCAGGCGCAGCUCAGGCGGCCCCGCGGGACUGUCGCAGCCCCCAUCGCUGUCUUUCUCUUCCAACGCGUCGUCGCCCUCGCCCACCACAUCGAUGUCCACGUCCUCGGCCGUCAGCACCGUCUGGCCGGACAUGUCGCUGGCGCUGCCGCCACCGGAGAGGGUCAUCCCUCCUCGGGGUUGGUGGCGGCGGCGGGGAAGGAGCGGCGCGCGAUGGGCGUCUUCAGGGGCUGCCGCCAACCUCAGGAAAGGGGUUUGGGGCGCCCCCGAAAGACAGGGGAUUAG